rnacentral:rRNA from 1 species
GUUGAACGCUAGCUACAGGCUUAACACAUGCAAGUCGAGGGGAAACGGCAUUAAGUGCUUGCACUUUUUGGACGUCGACCGGCGCACGGGUGAGUAACGCGUAUCCAACCUUCCCAUGACUAAGGGAUAACCUGCCGAAAGGCAGACUAAUACCUUAUGGUCUUCACUGACGGCAUCAGAUGUGAAGUAAAGAUUUAUCGGUUAUGGAUGGGGAUGCGUCUGAUUAGCUUGUUGGCGGGGUAACGGCCCACCAAGGCAACGAUCAGUAGGGGUUCUGAGAGGAAGGUCCCCCACAUUGGAACUGAGACACGGUCCAAACUCCUACGGGAGGCAGCAGUGAGGAAUAUUGGUCAAUGGGCGAGAGCCUGAACCAGCCAAGUAGCGUGCAGGAUGACGGCCCUAUGGGUUGUAAACUGCUUUUGUAUGGGGAUAAAGUCAAUCACGUGUGAUUGUUUGCAGGUACCAUACGAAUAAGGACCGGCUAAUUCCGUG